rnacentral:rRNA from 1 species
GACGAACGCUGGCGGCGUGCUUAACACAUGCAAGUCGAACGGAAAGGCCCUGCUUUUGUGGGGUGCUCGAGUGGCGAACGUGUGAGUAACACGUGAGUAACCUGCCCUUGACUUUGGGAUAACUUCAGGAAACUGGGGCUAAUACCGGAUAGGAGCUCCUGCUGCAUGGUGGGGGUUGGAAAGUUUCGGCGGUUGGGGAUGGACUCGCGGCUUAUCAGCUUGUUGGUGGGGUAGUGGCUUACCAAGGCUUUGACGGGUAGCCGGCCUGAGAGGGUGACCGGACACAUUGGGACUGAGAUACGGCCCAGACUACUACGGGAGGCAGCAGUGGGGAAUAUUGCACAAUGGGCGGAAGCCUGAUGCAGCAACGCCGCGUGCGGGAUGACGGCCUUCGGGUUGUAAACCGCUUUCGCCUGUGAAGAAGAGUGAGUGACGGUAAUGGGUAAAGAAGCACCGGCUAACUACGUG